GAGUUCCUCAAGGCAGCUGAAGAUGUCAAGAACUUGAAAUCCAAACCCACUGAUGCCGAGAUGCUGGAGUUGUAUGGGUUGUAUAAACAGGCAACUAUAGGAGAUGUGAACACAGAUAGACCUGGGAUGUUAGACUUCACAGGGAAGGCAAAGUGGGAUGCCUGGGAUGGGAGGAAAGGCAUGUCCAAGGAGGAUGCAAUGGCAUUUUAUAUAAGUGUGGCCAAUAACCUGGUGGAAAAAUACGGCAUGAUGUAAAUGGUGAGUGACCUGGUGACCUGUGCUGUGACCUGUGCAGUAACCUCAUUAUUGAACUGCAUCAAUAUCCAGUCUGUUACCCAUGAUUCCAUAGAAGAUGCCAGGACAGCCCUGAAGCUGUAUAAGAAAUAUCAGGAGCUCUCUAAUGAAGGAGGAGAUAAAAUCAGAGAAGCUCUUAAAGAGAUGUAUGAAAAAGGGCGCCAACUUUCAUGGAAAAUACCAGAAAGUGAACAGUGACUUUAGCUUUAAAUUAAUAAACGCUUUAUU